UAAACCAAUGAUAAGUACCCUGAGGUGCUUGAAUCAAGGAUUUUGAUUAAACUAUAUGACUCUAGGUCCAU
ensembl:snoRNA